CCAUAAGGGAACCUAAUCUCUUCAAUAUUGGUUAAAUCCAGGACUUCCAUUUAUAGAGGAACAGAGAAUUCUUACUACAGGAAGGUUGUAAAGAAUUUGGUGUGAAAUAAUGCAAUUAGGCAGUUGUGGAAAUGAGGAUGUUGGAGCAUGAGAGAACAGGGGUUUGCAAGGCAGUGUCUUCUGUUAUUUCUAAUAGGAUUUCUUAGGAUUCGUGGAUCAGUAAAAAAUGAAAACUGACAGCAAGGAUGCCUCUACCAAAAGCUGAACAAGUCUGUAGAUCCUGGUCUUGGAAAUAUUGCUGGUCUGGAAUUGGAAGUCUCUCACCAGCUCCCCUCAACUGAACACAGAGCAGCUCCCAAAAAGAAUGUGCAGGAGAGAGACUCAGAAGAAGGGUGGGACUCCAAUGGGGGAAAAAAGAAGCAAUGACAAACAGAAACACAGCAAAGCAGGACAGUGUGGCUGGCAGGGAAGGGACUUCAUGGAAAAACGUGAUGACAGAUGUUGGUGGAGUGUUUACACAGUGGCUAUUUAGGAAAAACAAUGUCUGAAGCCUCAUCAGAUUGACUACAAAGCUUCCAGUGAUCUUCCCUCUUCAGCUGUGGACAAUACCUUAACUGCAGGGAUGAUGUUAUGUUGG